UGAUGUUAACCCUCUCACGGUCUUAAUGGACACAAACCCUUUCUUCAGGAACGCAACAACCAACACUCUUUCAUUCUCCAAGUUCCUCUCUCGUAACUCUUCUGUAAACCCUAACUUUCUCUCUCUAAAACUAAUAUCCCCUAAUUCACCAAUGACUCUCAUCUUCACGAAUUCACACAGGUCCUUUCAGUCUUGAACUCCAUUCUACUUCUCAACCAAGUCAAUCAAGUUGUCGUAAUCGCCACGGGCUUCAAUUCGUGCGAGUACGUCUAUGAUUUGUCUUCAAAUGAGGUUGCACACAAUCAGAGGGCGGAGAGUUUGUUGAGGAGGUUGGAGGAGUUUGUGAUUGAGGAUGAAAAACUAAGUAAGGACGAAUCAGUUGAUGGGAUUGGAGCUUCACUGUUAUCAGGGUCUUUGUCGAUGGCCCUUUGUUGUAUCCUUAUAAUUGAUUGCUCAUACAUUCAUUGCUUAUAUUGUAAUUUAUAUAAAGCUGUUUUGGAUUAAUCAUUUUUCCUCUUGAUUGAUUUAUUGCCAAAGGGCUGGAGAUUUUAUUAUCCUAUUAACGGUUUAAUUUUUUAUUUUUUUCUAAUAAUUGUUGUGGUGGACAAUUGUGACUUGUAAGAUUGGUUUCACAUUUUUUCUUCUUCUUCAUUAUAUUCCUUUGGACGUAAUUUCUAGAUUUUAAUUACAUCUUUUUGUUGUAAUGCUUAGUGCCAUUGUAUAGUUUUGUUGAAAUUGAGGGUUAAAUUCUCCCAGAAGUCCAUAAGCAUUUAGAUGUGGCAUGAUGCUAAUGCUAAUUGCUGAAAAAUUCUGUGUAUAUAUGUAGAUGAUCUGCACCCUAAAUACAUAUCUAUGACUAUUAAUUUAUCAAUACAACAAAUAGUUGUUGGUAAUGCUGGUCUAAAAUAAUAGUGUAUGAGUUUUUAACAAAAAAAAUUAUUUAGUUUCUUGUUCAAUGUCUUUACAAUAAAGUUUUUACUAACUAUAAGUCUGAGCUGUUUGAUAAAAUGCCUUAAUCUAAUUAAAGAAUUUCAGUUAUAGCAAAUUCCAUAUAAUAGCAUUAGAUCGUGAUUUGGAUCGGGUGUUGAUUUUUUUUUUUUUCCUUCAUUUGCUGGGUGGGAAGGGAGGGGGAGAGUGUUCCGUGAAAUGAAGGCAAGAACAAAAACUCUUGCAUUUGGCUUUACUUUUUUCAUAUUGGCAGUUAGAUGUUCAUUUUACCUUUUGAAAGCAAGCUUCUGUUAUUUCUUUCUUCUAUUACUUUUAUUCUUCUUAGUAAUUGCGAUUUUUUUUUUUUUGUUUUUUUUUUUUUCAUAUUUGGUUCAAUUUAUAUAUAUUGAUGUUAACUAUUCACUGCUCUUGGUUUCAGAUUACUGUCAAAAUCAGCUGCGAUAUACAUCAGCACAUUUUCUGACUUUUUAAGCAACAAUAGUCUGUCCAAAAUCUUGGUAAAAAGCGAAAAGUCAGAUAAUGUGCCGAUGUUAAAUGUUCUGCAAUAAAAAAAACUACAUAAAAUUUUCAUUGAGGAUUCUCUAAUGGUUCUGUUAUAAUUAUUUUUCUUUAUUUUAUAUAUAUGUGCUGAUCCUUUAAUGGUUGAAUAAUGUAAAUUUUUUUGUUCACUGUUAAGCCCAGCUGAUCUCUUGGAUUCACCUGUUCUCCUCUCCACUUAUAACGUUGUCAAUGUGAAAUGGCUGCUGAUCAGAACCCGAGCGAGCAUAUGAGUUGGAGUUGGAGUUGAAGUUUCACUUAUUAAAGAGCAAUCAAAAACAUGACUGGUCUGAAGAGGAAAAAUGAUGUUGUCAUAUCUGAGGCAAUUCCGGAGUCUGAAUAAUCCUAGUUGUGAUGUUCUGGAUGGUGAGCAUUCAGCACCUGUUGGAUCCCCUUCAUGGAAAGUCUAGUUUCAGAAUACUCAGGAAGAGUGUUCAAAAAUGGAGAGAGAAUCAAAGUCCAUUCAAGCCCGCUUUCUAAACCAGAUUGAGAAAAAGUGGAGGGGAAAAAAGUGGUGAGGAAGGUAACUUAUGAACAAUCAAAGGAGGACAUUAAUAAGUGGGGGCCUUUAGUCAAGAGAAAUAGGGAGGCACACACUUGUUAUGUUGACAAAGAAGUAGAUCUGGACUUUUCAACUAUCAGGGCAAUUGCUUCUGAAUUUGAACCUAGAACUGAAUUUGAGAAGAAAAUGGCUCCCUUGUAUAAUAGCAGAGAGGUUCUAGAAGCUCACAGCAAAGAUGGUGCUAGGCUUCUUGCAAUGGACAAGGUAUGGAGGUCCUACACAUUAUUUCUUUUCCAGUUUUGGUAUUCCAGCAUCUGUCAUAUUUGGUUAUCGUAUUUUCACUGCCACGGGAGAAUUCCUAAUUAUUAAGUUCUUUGAUAGAAUGGAAAAUGUUGUAUGAAGAAUUGACAAAUUUAGGAUGUAGGAACACAUGUUUGGAACUAGACAUUAUCUGUGAUGACUGGUUUGGAGUAAAUGGUUAAGAUUCAUAUAUAAUUAUGUGUGUGUGUGUGUGUGUCCUUAUGGAUGAGUAAUGCUAGUUGAAGGAGUUUUUAUGGAUUGAUCGCUUCUGUGUUCUGAAUAAAUUUGCUUGGAAAGGUUUCCGUGGAAACAACAUUGUUUAGAAAGGAGAAAGAAGGCAUUGGCAUGAGGAGGUUAGAAAGGAGAAAGAAGGCAUUGACAUGAGGAAUUGAGCUUCUUUUUCCUCUCUGUGUUGGGUUUUGAUCUGAGGUUUGGUUGUAUGUACCUAAACAAACCUCUCCUUCAAAGAUGUAUAACCUAAUAUAUGCCAUAAUGAACCCUUUUUAUAUUGGGUCUCCAUUCAUAUUUCUGACAUGAGGGACAAUUGAUAUGUUUAGGAUUUCAGUGUGCGUAUUUGUGCACAUGCAUGUUUAUUAAAUUUCUUUUUUUAUUUUUAAAAAAUAUCUAUUUAUAGUAAAUUCAUUUUGAAUGCUACCAUAUUUACUUGAAACAAACUUGGGCAACUGUUGGAUCAAGCAUUUCAGAUCCAACCGCUCAAGAGCAUCAGUGUUUGCAUUGGUGAGAGUCGCUGUCUCCAUCAAAAGAACAUUUUAUUUAUUGAAGCUAAUGUCUGUAAGUUUGCUGAUAGAUACAGCGAUUAUUUAAUUAACAUUUGGCGUGUUCCAUUACAUACCUCAUAAGCAUCUUCAAAUGCCCUCAGGUGAAGAAUAACAGGCCUUGCCUUCUCUAGUGUUCUACGUGUCCUUGUAUCUUCAGGAGCUGCUUCUCGGGUAGGAUAUUAGAGCUGUGUGUUUGGAGCACCACAGAUGAUGAAAAAUAUUUGCAAGAGAGUAAAUCCAGAUGGGCGAGACAUAAUUCCUCUUACAGAUACCUGCAUACAUAAAAUGUUUUUAUAGUAGUUUUCUUUUAUUUAUACUGUAAUUUCUUUAAUUAAAUUGUCUUUUGAGCCCUUGAGAUGAUGGAUAAGAGAAAAUUAAGAUGUUUAUGUUUGAGUUUGAACUAGAGAAAAGAUGCAUUGAUAUUUCAUCUACUAUUAUAAUAAGUGCGUGAAGCUGGAUUAUUUUAAUGUUGUAAAUGUGACUCUGGCGGCUGUUACGACACUCGCAAUAUCCUAAUUAUUUAUUUAUA